ACCCGCUGAAUUUAAGCAUAUAAGUAAGCGGAGGAAAAGAAACUCAAGAGGAUUCCCUUAGUAAUGGCGAAUGAACAGGGGUAAGCUCAGAGUGGAAAUCGGGGCCUUUCUGGCUUCGAAUUGUGAUCUCGAGAUGUACAACCAGCAUGGGGUGCAGGUAUAAGCCUUUUGGAAAAGAGCACCAGCGAGGGUGAGAGUCCCAUUCGUUACCUGUAGCCCCCAGUGCAUGGUGUGCAUUCUAAGAGUCACGCUCCUCGGGAUUGGAGCGCAAAGUGGGUGGUAAAUUUCAUCUAAAGCUAAAUACGGGCCUGAGACCGAUAGCACACAAGUACCCUGAGGGAAAGGUGAAAAGGACUUUGGAAAGAGAGUUAAACAGAGCCUGCCAUUGCUGAAAGGGAAGCGAACGAAAUCAGUGUGACUGGGCGAGAUCGGGCCGUGCCAUGGUGAGCUUCUGCGAACUGGACGUGCGGCUCAUUUCUUGCCCUGUCGGUCAACAGUGCUGCAAGCGCGAGGAAAAGAGUAUUGGACUGUCAGCUCGCCUACGGGGGAGUGAAUGCCUUUGCUACUACUUGCGCGUGUAGUGCCGCUUGGCUAUAUGGUUUCUUUCGACCCGUCUUGAAACACGGACCAAGGAGUCUAACAUAUGUGCGAGUUUGCAGGUGUUUAAACCUGUUAGCGCAAUGAAAGUGACUGCUAGAAAUUGUGCACUGGCAACCGACCAAUCGCUUGAGAAACGUUUGAGUAUGAGCAUGUCUGUUAGGACCCGAAAGAUGGUGAACUAUGCCCGUGAAGGGCAAACUCAGGGGAAACUCUGAUGGAGGCCCGUAGCGAUACUGACGUGCAAAUCGUUCGUCAUACAUGGGUAUGGGGCGAAAGACUAAUCGAACCAUCUAGUAGCUGGUUCCCUCCG
rnacentral:rRNA from 1 species